rnacentral:rRNA from 1 species
CAAUCACUUGUCUUUGAGAUGAAGACGGGUCCGAGGGGUAUAAAAAGGGCUUAACUGUCUCCUUUUUCCAGGCAAUGCCCUUGAUCUCCCCGUGCAGAAGCGGGGAUAAUUACAUAAGACGAGAAGACCCUAUGGAGCUUUAGAUAAGAGAUGGACCAUGUUAAUAAAUCUAUUUAAUAAGAACAAACUUAUUGGUCACCAUUUUAAUAUCUUUGGUUGGGGCGACCGCGGGGUAAUAAUUAACCCCCAAGUGGAAAAAGAGAACCUCUCUCAUAACCUAGACUGACAAAUCCAAGUAUCAGAAAAUCUGACCAAAAAUGACCCGGCAAAGCCGAUCAACGAACCGAGUUACCCUAGGGAUAACAGCGCAAUCCUCUCCUAGAGCCCAUAUCGACAAGAGGGUUUACGACCUCGAUGUUGGAUCAGGACAUCCUAAUGGUGCAGCCGCUAUUAAGGGUUCGUUUGUUCAACGAUUAAAGUCCUACGUGAUCUGAGUUCAGACCGGAAUCACCUGUUUAUCACACACAUAU